UCCCCGUUCGUCCCCAACUCGCCAAAUCCGCAGCCGCCGCAAGCACAGAGACCCUCUAGAUCGAGCGCGAGCUCCACCCCCGCCGCCGCGAUGAGGGCCAAGGUUCGUCUCGAUUCUGUUCCUCCGCCUCCGUUGCGAUAUCGUUUGCUGUUUCGAUGAUGCCAUGACAUUGCGUAGUAGAAUUAGAGAACUAGUGCUGUCCUAGGGUUUGGUUCUAGAAGCUGUGCUAUGCGUGGUUUCUGCUGAUUUUGUCUUCGAUUCGAACGGUUAUGCUAUGCUGUUCUCUAUGAUGACGAAACACAGAUGACGAGUCUGACGAAAUCCAUUCCAUUAAACCAUGGGGACAAUCGAGGCAUUUGUCUGAGAGAACACUGAUCUGCUAGAAAAAGAUUUGUUUCGUCUAUGUCCUGUUUUAAAUUUCGGUUUAUUUGUUCGCAAUUGUUUCGGCAGUACUGGCAUAAUGAGGAAAAUCCUUAUUUUUCUGAUAUAGUUGAUGAUAAAUACCUCCUACUCAUUCUGAAUGCCAGAACACUGCCUGUUAUCCCUGUUUUGUUUUGUUUUCUUUUUGAAAGAGGUACCUUGUUUUGUUGGUAGAUUAGAUAAGGUUUGUUGGCUUUUGCCAUGUUCACUCUAAUCGGACAGAUUCAGAUCUUUUUUUAGGAAUCCUUAACAUUUUUCGCAAAAAAGAGUAAUCCUUCAUUGCUUGAUGUUGGGAUAUGAUGAAGAACCUUUGGUCCGUGUUUCUGAUCAACCCUUGAUGAGUAAACCACUCCUAAAGAAUCUGAUCCCAAACAAUUUAUAAAAAUAAUUGUGCUUUGUUCUGUAUAUUUAUCUAAUCCGAUAAAUUUGCCUGACACGAAGGAUACUGAUGCAUCUUGGCUUGUUCUGAUGUUCAGUGGAAGAAGAAGAGAAUGAGGAGGCUCAAAAGGAAGCGCCGAAAGAUGAGGCAGAGAUCCAAGUAGGCUUGCCUGGAGGAUGAAGGGAACUGUCUGUUGCAUUGUGACCUAGGCUUGUUAGGAUAAACACCCCGACGUGCUUUGGUGUAGAUGCAGGAGAUGUUUACCUUCUUGGGGUCUAGUUUUAUUUUUAGCUCAUCAAAACUCUGGUCAUGUUCUAAGGCUGGGUUUUAUGUAAUGUGAGGAUAAUAUGUUGCUUUGUGACUGAGUUUAUGCAGUUAAACGAGAUUUCUUGCACUAAAAAAUAUACUUACUGCCUAUCUGUUACCCUUGUGAUCGGUAGUUGUUUCCGUUAUCUGUGCUGUUUUCUCACGCGCUGUGGCAAUUUUCAGAAUCUCAGGAUGUUUUGCAUUGCUCCAUGGUGUAGAUGGAAUAGUUGCUUUGUUUUUGGUUGAGGCAUGACUGCAUCACUUGUUGAUUACAGAGCAGAGAGCGCUGGUGUUUAUGAGUUACAUUGGAUUUGUAUUGCUGUUGAGUUGUUAAUUACUGGAGUUUUAUAUCUCGUAUAGCUCUGGUGUUCUACUUUGCUUCGAUAAAUGAUGCCAUUUUAGCAGGCGAUUCUAAUUCUGCUGUCAGCUCCUGAUAUGUCAUGUUGAGAUCACUCCAUUGAGAUUAUGUGAAUCUUGAACUGUGUGCAAUUCGAAAUUGUAGAAAUAAUUGACUGCUUUGGGAUGGGAUUUGGGUUUGCAAUAUGUGGAGGAACAACAUAGACCUGUCUGGUUCAAACAGGCGUCAGUGAAAAAGCCUUCAGUGAACUCGUGGCGUCGACUCGUGAACUCUGAAACAGAUGAGGUGCAGGUGCACAAUAGAGACGGCUGGCCUCGCACCUGCACCAGCACCACUCCCUUAUCCGCUGGGCCUAGCAUGAAUUUGUUCGUAACCGUUUAUAUUCCUGCCAGCCUGAUCCCUGCACUAGAACUGAGAGCUUCUCAACUCAUCCGUUAAUGGAGGCCAUAGUCAGGGCAGGUGUAUCUUCCUCGGCGCCGGCGCAGCUACGCCCGUGCCCGAUGCCGUGCCGCAACCGCUGCCUACCGUCCUCCGUGCGCCGUCCCGGACGCCGGGGAGUUGCCUGCUCGGCCUCGGCGGCCGACGCCGACGUCGUCGAUCUCUUCGAUGCCGCCAAGCUCACGGUAUGGUAGUGAGAUACCUCACCGUUCGUUCGUGAGCAAGCCGUGUAUGUUCUCCAACGAAUUUUUGUUCUCUGUAGGUGGACAGGUUCGUGCAGAGCGGCAUGGUGGUCGGGCUAGGCUCCGGCCCGGCGUCCGCCCUGGCGGUCCAGUACCUCGGCACGCGCCUCCGCCGGGGAUCUCUCACCGAAAUCGUCGCAGUAACCUCGUAAGUUCUGAAUUUCUGAUUGCCAUUGCAUGAUCUGUUCCUUCUUCGUCACAGACUCAGAGUAACCUAGUAACUCUGAAUUUCUGUUUUCUGAUUGCCACUGCAUGAUCUGUUCCUUCCUUUGUGCAUGAAAGUGCUUCUUUUCUCAUCAGACACUCGAAUCAGUUUGCAUCUAAUCAGCUCUUGGGAUUGAUUGACCAGCCAGGUCCGUGCUCAGUGCGAGCGAGGCAGACAAGGCCGGAAUACGGGCUAGCAGCUAUCAGGAAGGAACCCAAGUGAGUAUGCGCAGUGCUGUACGCCUGUAACCAUCAGCUGUAAACCUCUUCUUACAACACGGGAAGAACAGCAUCUGAAACUGUGCUCUGCUCACUGACGUAUAGAUUGAUUUUGCUUUCACUGAUGCUGAAGUAAUCGAAGAGGGCACGCUGGCUGCCGUCAUCGGGCGGCGCAAGACCGAGAGUGGAGAGCCCUCUUUCAUGGUGGAGAAGGUAUUUGACUACUUAAUCAAUGUCUUCAGAGUUAGCGCGUGCAUGGAUUUCUGAUGGAUAAUCAUUCGUAUGUAGGCAACAGUAAUAGAUGCAUUGCAUAUCUGAACCAUUUAUUUGAUUUCAACCAUGUUGUCCCAUGUGUUAUACAGGCAAUGGUUAAAUCAGCUGAUAAACUUGCCUUCAUCACUGGAAAUGACAAAUACCUGACAGGUGUUGAGGGUUCCAUUCCAGUCAUAGUUAAAAGUGUAAGGAAAAAAAAAUCCUGUUGCUUCAGAUAUGGUCAGUUUUAUACAAUGUUUAUGAAGAGAGGAACAGAUGAUUUCAGGGAAAUUGGAUAGACACUGCUGAAGAGAUCGACGAUUUGUUCCUAGGGGAUGCAGAGGUGCCCUCAUCCAUACGAAUACUCAAUAGUUAAAUUUUCAGAACUCGAAUACCUGCUGGACUGCUGAAACUGAAACGCUCAUGAAUGUUUGGUCACCAUUGUAUGCGAUUUUCUGAUCAGGUUUGGAGGAGGCCAUCAUUUGGGACUGCCGGUCCACUAGGGGGUGAUCACCCAUUGGUCACUAAGGAGGGUCAUCACGUUCUUGAUGUGAUCUUUACGACUCCAAUCCCAGAUCUAGGUAAGCUGAUGGAAGAUCAUUGCAACAAAGGGGCUAAACUCAUCUUGAGUCCAUUAGACCAUUUCUUGGGCCAAAGCUUUAGCUGGUUGCUUUGCCAUAUUUAUUGCAGGUCAGGUAGCAGAGAAGUUGGACAAAGUUGCUGGCGUUGUGGAUCAUGGGAUUAUUUGUAGCAACCAGUAAUUUUCUUAACGCAAGCAUACAGAAUAAUAUUUUUAAUUAAUUUUGUGGGGAUGGUUUACGGAGGUGUGUUUCAGGUUUUCUUUUUCCCCCAAAAAGGUGCUUCUCAGUGUUCUUACACGCUGCAUCUCCUGCCCUGCAGAUCGUAUGCGGUGAUUGCAUCCAAGGGGGAAGUGCAGGUUAUUGAGGAGAAACCCUCGGUGAUACCGUAGCGCUGCAGAAAUCUUCCAGUUGCCUGCAGAGGCGCCAUUUUUCUCCACACAUUCCGGAUAAGAGUACUUCCAGGUUGGCUGGAAAAUGCCUGAGAGUUAAAUAAUAUAGUAGCACCAAAUGUAAUCUCUUCAGUAUCCAACACUCUAUGCACCAGUAUGCAAAACCUUCCACUUCGUGUGCAAUGAAGAUCAACAAAUCUGCAGUCACAGACUGUUAACAUGCCGAAAACACCAUUUUCCAUGGCAGGUUACUGAUAACUAUGCUCGUAGGUCCAAAAAAAUUAGUUGGGCAGCAAAGCAAGUAUGCUUGACAGAAUGUCGACUGACAAAUACUAGCGCUUUGCAAUUUUCAUCCAGGAUACAUAAAAUGGCAGUGUUGAACCGCAGGACUUCCUCUUCCUGGCUUCUUGUCCCACAUGUCAUAGAAACAUUUUCUUGCCAAAAAUUUUCACAAAUGUGGCUUCAAUAUUGCUAGCCAAAAUGAUUUUGGCAGCCACAAGUCGCCUAAUGUUAAGGUUAGGCACCAACCAAACAGAAAGCUCCACCUCCCAGCUCCAAUCCAAGCAGCCGUCAGAGACAUACAGUACUAAUAAAACUUUUUUAGGGAAUGCUAUUGUUUCGCCCAAAAAGCAGAAACUGCAAGCACAAGUGCACAACAUGUUCAGUUCCCCAACUAUGCCUGAACUCUAAAACACACACAGAGAGAUCAAUACAAUUUCUUGAUUCAUAUGGCUCGUUCUUUCUAAUCAUGUGACACGGCAAAGUUCUUGCCGUUAUCCCGAAUAAAAAGAUAUAAUCCAUACGGCUGACAGAUAUCUCUAAAUAAACACAACUAGCAAUCAUAUUUACGCUGCAACCUCAGCACACAAGGAACGUCUGUAAGCAACUUGAAAAGAUGUGUCAUUAUCUCCUUACUCCUGCUUUUUCUCCAACACCACCUUCCUGCUGUCGAAGAAAAACAGUUUAGAACAAUUUAGAAGACGUGCAAGUUCCGUCAAGUUUAGCUAGAGACAUUAGUAGGUUUCAUGAAUUCAGCAGACAUAUACAAAUGAAGGGCGUGGUUGUAUCACGGUACAACAACCUGAGUAGCUACAGGACAUUUGGCCUGUUCGUUUCAGCUUAUUCAGCCGGUUUAUCAGCCACCAAACAGUAUUUUCCUUUCACAACAAAUCAGUCGUUUCAGCUUUUCAGCCGGCUUAUAAGCUGAAGCGAACAGGUCCGCCUUCAGGCAGUCACAUGAAGAUGCCACUCCUUGGCGUCUCGUUGCCCGGAGGAAUCACCAUGGCGAAGAAAUUGGAAGGCAGCUCCGUGAAAGUGAAGCCAUCCGAGCGUCACUACAUAAAACGAUUUGUAGGGCACCCCAUAUUUUAUUUUUAUAAGGAUAGGCGAAAUUGCUAUCCGCAUCUACAAAACGGAUCGCUAUUGUAGCAUACGACCUACCCGUGGAGAACCAUUUGUAGGGAUGGGCCACGGGACGACCCGCCCCUGGGGGGCGAUUUCGAUUUUCAUGGGCGGGCGAUGGGGUGUCCCGUCCAUGGAAAUCACAAUUUGCAAGGGGCGAGUGACGGUAUCACCCGCUCCCGAAAAUUAUUUCCAGUAACGAGUGAUGACGUGGGCCGCUUCUAGAAAUGGUACAAUUUCUUGAUGCAUGAAUGCGCCAUGAACAUCCUUAGCAGAACACUUUGCAUGGUGCCUCAUUGCCUUCUUGAAUGUGAAUAUGGCAAGAAACAAGUUCACAAAAAUAUAAACCGUAGCUCAAAAAAUAAGUGUCAUAUAUAAACCAACAUAUAAAUCAUGUCACAACUCAACAUAACCACAACCAAAUGAUAGAUCCCACAGAACAGAUAAGACAUGUCACAUUACAUAUAAAGUUUGUAGAUCACAACUCAACAUAACCAAAUAACAAAUUCCACGCAACAGAAACAAAACCAAGAUUCAUUGACAAAUAACACUACUACACUAUCCAUUUCUUCACUUAGCAUUAGCUACUCCUAAGGCAAAUAUCCCAAGCAUAACACCUACAAUCAAGGUCACAACAGUAGUGAUGACAGCCACGUUGCAUGCACCCCCAACAGUCUUUUUUUUCUGGCCACAACAGCCUUGUUUUCUUUCCCAAAAGAUGCUUCAACUCUCCCACUUCCAACUUUAGUUUAUUAACAUUCCCUUUCAUUUCUCCACACUGGAUCUUCAAUUCACACAUCUCCAUCUUCAGAUCACAAAUUGCCAAUUUUAUUUGACUUAUCUCAUUCAACAUGCCAUUGCUUGCCAACGGCUCAGGAGGCUGAAAUCCAGCACUUGACUGAGCUGCUGCUGUUCCUGGAGCAAUACCUGCCAAUUGAUAGUUUGGAGGCAUCGAAUGGGGAAAUUUUUUCCUUCAAAUGGUUCAAGUACUGAGGCUCAAACCAGUAUUGGUCAUAUAUUCUAGAAUCUCCCUACUUCAACAACACAAAUGCAACUCAACCCUUUGGUUCCAACACGGUUGAUUCCAUGAUGUUAGGGUUGCAAUCUUACCUUAGUGUUGUUGGGGUACUUGUAGAAGAUGUAGCCCCCAUUGCUCCUGAGCCAAAUCACCCUUAUUCCGCAUUUAUGGCAGUCGACGAGGGGAAGUUGCACGAACUGGUUGCGACUUGGUACCAACGAUGGGAAGCUGCUCGACAUAACCUUCACUUGCUUGUUCUCGACGGAUGUCGAGGAGCUAGAGGACAGUGAGAAGUUCAACAACUUGCCUUGCCCCCCUUGGCCUCCUUUGCGGCAGCGGAAGCUGUGGCGGCGUGCGGCAGCGGUGGAAGCUAUGGCGGUGUGGCUGCGACGGCGAAGGUGAAAGCAUACCGGCGGCAUGCCCGCAUGGAAGGAGGUGUCGUGGGAGGAGAGCGCCACGGUGGCGGCCCGAGCGCGGAAGGAGGCGCUGCGAAUGGAAGGCGCCGUGGGAGGAGGGAAGGAGGCGCGACGCUGCGGCAUGGCGGUGGAGGCGUCGCGGGGAGGCGCUGCGGCGGCGGAGCACGCGGGGGAGGGGAGCGGCGCCGGAGCGGGGGCGGAAGGAGGGGCCGGGGAAAUUUUGACAGCCUAACGGCGUCCCGCGGGCUUCUCCAAAAAUUUGGCUUAGUAACCGUGGGCGCCACUAUAUAUAUAGGGUGGCAUUAGCAGCACCUGGAAAUCAUUUCUUCAUUUUUUUUCUAAAAUGUAUUUUGGAGCUAUUAAAUGAUCUUAAAUGCAAAAGUUAUCAACUGCAAAGUUUAAUGUCUCGUUGAGCUCCACAAUUUUGAUAUAAAGUUUUUAUUUAUCCAAGAAGAAAUGAAAAUUUCAAAAAAUACAUUCACUAAACACAUUCACAUGUACUCACACAUAUACUCAUACAUUCACAUAUACUUUGCGGUGAAUAUGUGUGUUUAGUGGAUGUAUUUUUUUAAUACAAAAUAUUUUUAAUUUCAUCUCGGAUGGAUACAAACUUUAUAUCAAAAUUAUAGAGAUCAAUGAGAUAUUAAACUUUGCAGUUGACAACUUUUGCAUUUAAGAUCAUUUAAUAGCUCCAAAAUACAUUUUAGAAGAAAAAUAAAAAUGGAGAAAAUAUUUCCAGCCAUCACCCGCACUUGGAAAUCGUUUCUAGGGGCGGGUGGUGACGUCACCCGCCCCUGCUAAAUGGUAGCCUAUAUAUGGUGGCGCUCGCGGGGACUUAGCCAAAUUUUUUCUUGAAAAAUGUAGACGUUUAACAUUUGAAAUUAGGGUUCAACAUUUCGUUCAACUUUUUUUCGAAAAAAUGUUGGUGAACAUUUUUUUAUCCAACAUUUUUCCAGUUGAAAUGUUGAAUAGACCAUCAUCAGUUGGAUCUUGGUGGCUUUGAAAUGGAUCAGUUGGAUCUGGUGGCUUUGAAAUGGAACGGAACUGCGAAGCUAAGCUUUAUAUCAUCAGCUGGACCUUGGUGACUUUGAAACGGAACGGAACUCCGAAGCUAAGCUUUAGCUCAAACGCUUAUCCAUCUUACAGCCGGUAGACUAGUAGUAACAGGGUUCUCUAAAAAAAAUAAAAGUAGUAACAGGGGGAAUGUGCUUGAUAGGUGAUAGCAGCAUAAGAUCAUCUAGAAGUUUUUUCUCCAACAGAAAAGAUAAAGAGGUGCUGCCAGAUCCUUCACCGCAGCAACCGGCGGAGGUAACAAAUGACGCAUCAGCUGAAUGACUCAUACAACAAAUAGCACAUCGACUGAAGACACAUACAACGAAUAUGAGGAUGAGAACAAGGAACCUUUGCCAGCCUCAGGAGCUCAGGAUCAGUGAAUCCCUGACCCCGAGCGCUGCUGCAACCUGAGCAAGUCCAAAUUGCAAAUUCAACAGAUCAAUUUGAUUAAAUGACCACCAAUCCACCAUAUAUCCUCCAGCAAGCUGGUCACUAGUACUGUAUCAGAAGAUGUUUACAACAACCGAACAUCCUGGGGUUUCCAGACAACACCCAUUUUCAAGUUGCAUCUCGCUAUCAGAAACUGGCCUAAUAUACUCUUUCCCCAACAUGCAUAGUGCUUUUUUUUAAUAAUUUCUUCAACGAAAGGAGGACUUAAGUACAGCAGGGGCGACAGAACAGCUAGUAAGGUAGAGUAGAACAGCCAUUGAUAGCCCCCCUGUUGAAUUUGAUGCUGAGGUUUUGUCUAAUUGAAGAAACAGCAUUGCCACCUAACUAGAGAUUUUUUUCCUCCAGCUAAAGUCAAAAGUCCAAAAUUCAUACUCUGACACCACCUCUAUUCUGAAUCGCUCUCCAGGCUUAGAGCCUUCAAGCCUCUAGCCCUCUGCAUGAUGUUUCACUCAUGUAAGUAACAAGCAUUCAACGGAACAGAGGUAGAAUACAUGCUUCUUGAAGCAAAACAAAUUUAAUUGUAUCCAGGUUACCUUUUUUGAACUCUUCUUCUCUCGAACUUCAUAUCUCUCAUGUGACAGAUCUGACAACCAAGCUCCUGGGCUCACCAUCUGUGAUUAUACCGCAAAAUGAAUCAGACAACAGUGUAAAAAAACAGAGAGCACUAUAACAGCAACAAAGAAAACAGAAGUUGAAAUCAAGUUUUUGAGCUUGAUCAUUACAAGCAAGCACUUCUGCAUCAGCUUGGGUCUUUUCUUUGGCCUCUGUGGGAGCUUGCAGCCCUUCAUUGCCAUGAAAUCCUCCUCCUUCUCCUUGUUAGACAAUGCAAUGAAGAACCUUGGCAACGCAGUGGUUCCCUUGUCCUCUGUUAAACCACCAAAAUCGAACCCAUUCCCCUCAAAAGGAAAUGGAGAACCCCUAGUGGAGUAAUACCGGUCCUUCUCUGGGGAGAGUGCCAUUGACUGCUUGUACUCGUUCGCUGGUGAAUCCGAUUUCCUGCUCACAUAGUAAGGUAUUUUGAGCACUGUACUAGGGCACCUGCUGGUAUUGCAGCGGGCAAUUCGAAUAAAGCCUGAAUACACUGAAUCUACCUGCGUUGAAGGGUGCUUGGGCGGCGUGGCGAACGAAAUGGUGCAAUGUCAGCUCCGAGAAGAGGCCGGGUUGCACGGGGCACAACACGUCUAAGAACUUCAGAUGGCGAGGGUGAUGGUGAGCCGUCAUCGCGCGUCUUGACACAGCGCAGCCGCUUCCGGCUUCCCCAUUGCAGGAAGAGGUUUGGCUCGCUGGGAGACCUCGAGGGCCUUGAGUCCUUCACCUCCUGAUCCAUCCGUACCCUGAAAGUGAACGCAGGUAGUUAGGUACCGAGUAGAAACUUAAGUCAAUGGAGCAACUUCGGAUCAAAGUUCCAGUGGAUUUUGGGAAGAGAGGAGGAUGGGCACUCAAAUCAAAGCAAAAUCUUGCCCCGAAAUUCAUCAAAAAAAAAAUCCUGCCCAACACACGAAGCAAGUGCCCCCUCUCCAUCCAAACACCUAGUGCCCUCUUAUCUUACCAUCACCAGCUAGAAUGAGAAAAGAAAUAGAACUCGAUCUUAUCUGAGCACAUCUGCUUUGCACAAGGACUCUAGAAGGGGGAACGGAGCAUGCACUAGAACUAGAAAGCGGAGAAAAAUACUUGUUUUAUUCCAAAACAAAUCUAAUCCUUCUCUUCAAAAGGUAUCCGCUAGCUGAUACAAGCAAAUCAGACGCCCCCAAGCAGGGGCAGACCCAAGGAUGGCAAUCUUUACACAAAAAAACGAAGUUUGCCGGUUGUAAUACAUUUGCAACUUCGAAUUGGGUCAGAUCCGAAUACCAAUAGCUUUGGGGCGCUCAGUUUCGCACAGCGGGAAGGGACGAGAUGGGGCGGACGUACCGGGUGGGUGCUCGUCGGCGGCGAAGAGCCCGGCGAAGACGGGGCAAAGGGCGGCGCCGCUCGCCCAGUCGGCGCCGCAAGGCCACGAGAGAGAGGACAGGAAGGGGCAGGCAGGCAGACUGAGAGAGAGAGCUGCACGGGAGGAAAACAAAAGAUUAGGGGUGAAGGCGCACGCGGCACGCCGCAGUCAGCGACGCGCUCGGGCCGUGUCGAAGUAGUUCUCGUUCGGCCCAAGAAGGUCCCGUUCGAAUAAAAAGAAGCCUGGCCAUAUUUGCCGUGUUGGUUGUUUGUAGCACUCGGCCCAACGUUGGAUUGGGGCCUGGUCCGUUCGAACAAAAGCCUGAUCUGACCUGUGUGCGUGGGGGGCAUCUUCCAGCGUGAUCAGAAAUCUAGGGAAUCCAACGAAGGAGAAAAAAAAAUCAACCUUCACAUAUCCUAUAAAAACCACCCGGAGAUCUAGAGAAUUUACAAAUCACAGGGCAACUCUACCAUAUAUCACCAAAAAAAAUCUGAAAUUUAACUUAUCACCUAGCACUGCUACCACAUCACCACGCACCUGUACAACAUCACUUAGAGAGACAUGUAAUUUAACAUAUCGCGCUACCAUAUCAACAAGCAAUGCAAAUAUAACACAUUCACGGCGCGCGACACCAAACAAUCAUGUUAGGCAAGGAUCAUAGCAAUGAAUUACUUGGGAGACAUCUCCCAAAAAAAACACUUGUGGCCUGUUCGCUUCAGCUUAUAAGCCGGCUGAAAAGCUGAAACGGCUGAUUUGUUGUGAGAGGAAAACACUGUUUGGUGGCUGAUAAGCCGGCUGAAUAAGCUGAAGUGAACAGGCCGUUAGUUUUUAAUGUUUCACAGGUGCAUUAAGACUAAAUCGCUAUUAUAGAUAGGCAAUGAUUAUAGAUUGUAGUAAUAUCAUGAACUGCAAAAGCAAAACAAGCCACAUGAGAUAUCUUUGCCAAUUUGAACAUUGUCAUUAAUAUGUCACUAACCUAAUAAGUGCACAUCCAGCAUGGUACCCUGAUUCCAAUUCAUCCUUCACAACAAAAAAGAAGAAGCUUAGAGCAAUGAUAGGCUGAUAUCUAUGUCACGUUAGCUAGAGAAUUUCAAAACUUGUAAAUCAACCUAGCUAGAGAAAUAUAGAAGUAAGAUUUCACGAAUUCAAAAAGUAACUGAACAAUUCAAUCAAAUCAAGUGGUGCAGUGGUAAAACUUAUAAUUAACAAUUUGGGCAGCCGCAAGACUUUACUUCGGGUCAAUGACUAUUGGGUGAAGAUGUCUCUCAAAUUUCUUUGGCCUGGCAGUGAUAGGCGUCCAAACCAAUAGACUCUCGAGAUAGGCAGCUCAACAUUUACAGAUGUAAUCCUCCAUAGGAUCCUCCUUCUCUUAGGCUUCUUAUCACUACCAUCCACCAUCAGGAUGGAAAACUUGGGCUCCAUCGCCGGCAACUGUUCUUUCUUAAGCUUCACAGCCUCCAGAGAUCUUUGGCUAGGAACUUCUUAUAAUUCCUCCACAUAUUGGUUGCAGGAUCAAAGUUCCACACAGAGAUGUUGACAUCGCCAAGUGGCUAGGAAUGAUCAAUGUACACAAACUUGAUAAAGCUGACAACAUAGGCCAUCAUCCUGGUCAUGGGAAAUGCGUCUGAUAGCUCAAACCUGGGUUUCGUCCACCUCUCGUCAGGCGACCUAUGAACCCAAAAUCCACUACUGCACCACCGUCAGCUAGGGCCAAUUGCAGUGCGCGAGUCGCUUGUGCUACCGCUGCAGCUGCCCAGCGCAACUGCUCAGCUGCAAACCCCAAACAGCUGCAACCUGAUCACUAAAGCUAAUGACUUGCACAACAAACAAAUACAGAACCAAUAGUUUGUAUAGUAAAAGAACAGUCUCACUGUUCUGGUUGUUGUAUAGCUGCAGCAAGCUGUUCCGAGCACUGCCGACAUCGGCGGCGAACAAAUCCUGAAACGACUGCUCUGGGAGGUUCCACCUUAGCACAUGCUAUCGACACUGUUCGUCCGUAGGUGCAGGCAGUGACCAACACAGACAACAUCCUCCGUGCGCCGCUCCAUUUGCUUUCAUGCCGCAAAGCACGUCAUAGUUGACUCGGAUGUACAAGGCUGAGAUGAAGUCCGGGGUGGAGUCAAUGAGGCAGGCCUAGAGGGUGAGCCCCUCCACCACCCUCUGGCCAUGCACUUUGCAGCUGGAGGACUUCUUGAUCGGGCAGUUGAUGUUCGUCCACUCCUGCUGUAGCCACACAGGUUGCACGGGAGGCCUUUUUCAUAUCACGAAGCGCUUCAACUCGAACGAGGACGACACAUAUUUUGUCAGCGCGAGCCAUAGAUGGGGGAAAUACCGGGCUGUGGCCGCAACCACGGUUUUCGCACACGCGGCGGUGGCUAUGGCUAGCGCACGAAGUUGUACGGUGUAAGAGGAUGAGGGACCCACAUGCUUCGUUGCAUGCGGGAUUCACGUGGAUCCAACAGGUGGAUGGUGGAUGUAGUGUCAAAAAACAUAUUGUGACACGCGAAUACAACUUUUUUCCCAUUUUUCCAUUUAUACUCAAGUAAAUAUCAUUUAUGCGUAUAGGUCAUGUGCAUUAGUUGUUUAACAACAUUUGCAAAAAUUAUGACAAACAUUAUACAUAUAAAUUGUAUAUAUCAUAAAGGUUGUGCUACAAAAUUUAUUGUAAGGAAAAAUACGCAUGUAAAUUGUUUGUAUAAGUUAUGACUUUUUAAAAAUGAAAAUUUGAAGUUGUCCUUUAGAAUUGCACUUGGAAGUGCUACGCAUAAGUUAUGCAUUCCAUUAAAGUUGUGCUGAAAAAUUAUCUCAUAAGAAUUUUUAAUACGAAGUUAUGUGUAUAAGUUAUGAUAUUUCAAAAAAUAAAAAGUUGUUGGAAUUUAUUUUCCGAAAACUAGAAAGUUCGAAGAAGUGUAGUGGGCUGUCGGGAAUCAAGCAGCCCUCCUGGUGAGCGCGCUCCAUUAGUGUUGGUGCUGUUAUAUAUCAGCGAACGUGAUAAAAAAAAACCCCAUAGCAUUGGUGCUGCUAUAUAUCACCGAAGGUGAUAAAAAACCCACUGUUGCCUUCAUUUUCACCCAGCAGCUUCCUCCGCCUCGGCACAAUGAGUGGCCCACUCGAGGUCAUUCUCCUCCUUCGGUCCUUCCUCCCGAUGAACACAAUACCACCGCCUUCUUCCCCCGCGCCGCCAUCCUCCUCCAUCUCCGGUGGUAGGAGAUACCGGAUCCGCUGCCCCAUCGCCCUCUCCUCCAGUUCACACUCCUCUCUUCUCAUUCGCCCCCCGCACCAACCUCCUGCACUGUCUCCGACGGCUCCUGCCGUCAGAUUCGUCGCCACCGGCCGCCAUCGCUCUAACCCGGCUCUGCCGGGGAGCUCACCGCUAUGGCCCUACCUCCUCCACCGCCCAUCGAUUGUCCUCCACCACCUGCGGCUGGCGGCACCCCGCCGCCUCGCCACCACCUCCGGCUACCUUCCACCCAAGACUUCCCCUCUACAACCGGAAGCUCACCGGCGACCCUAACACCAUAGCAACCUGAAACCGAACCCUAAGCUCCUAACCCUAGCCAUGGCCUCAGCGGCUACGGGAGGAAGACGACGGCAACAUUGCUCGGCCAUCGUGGGCCGUCGUCCGCGCCUUCAUGCGACAACUUGCAAAUUUGUCGCCUUCACCCAUUAGCAUUGCCCGUGAUCAGAACAGUUGGCCAGGAAACCAGGUAUAACCACGCGGCAGCAUAUAGCAUACAGAUACUCGAGGACCAUCCCAACCAAAACGCGUGGACGUUUCGUUAGUUCAAACAUUCCUCCGAUCGCUCUAGCCUUCAGCACUCCGCUGGCUUUGAAAAGUGAACCCAGAUCGCUGACUACGAAUUUUGACGAACCCUGGACGAGUCAUUUCUUGACGCAAAGGAAGAGGACACACGGUCAGGCAGAAAAUCCUCUAGAAGAAGUCGAGACUCGUACGGCGCGUGCCCCCGGCCGAUUCAAAAAGUUCAUCUCCGUAUGACGCAGCCGGUCCGGUCCAAACACCGAAAGCAACGAGGCCGUCAACGCUUUCCAUCACCGUCUGGGCUUCGUUCCGUCCGACCGACGCCACACCUCACGUACUCCCUCAAGUCAUCAUCUGCGUCCCAGUCUGUAUCACAUGCUCUGCUGCAGCUGAACAGCCCUGCAUACUUGGUGGAGGGGAAAGGUAGGCGACGGAACCAACGCAACCUCUGACCUCUCUUUUCGGCAAACCAUGGCGUCGUGGCUGUUGCUCCGGAGGAUCCAAUCUGCUGGCCGUCUAUCCGGCGGCCAUGGCCGGCUGCUCAGCUUCAGGGGCGGCGAGGGGCUCUGCCGUCCUCUUCCCCCGGCGGGCGAGCCAUCAGUCUGCAGCAGUGCCUACGGGCAAAUCAAGACAGACACCAGGAUCACGGUUUGUUCCUUUCCUCCCUUUCUCAAGUUCAAUUCCAGAAUCAUAGGACCUAGUUAAAUUUCGGUUUUUCAUACCUUCCAAGAAGAAAUGCGUUCAGAUAAUUUCAUCUGGACCAUUUCUGUGUCUUCUUCUUUGCGUGUAUGUAUCCAUCGUUUCUGCUGAAAAGUCUUCUGAUGCUUAUUUCAAAAAAAAAAAACGGUCUUCUGAUGCUUGCUGCUUGCGAUAUACGUGCAGAACCAUGAGCCACAUCUCGACAGGUUUUCAGAUCCCCAGGUUGCUCAUGAGGACCGUCAGUUCAUUCAGUUCUUGGACAGGAUGCUGGAUGCGAUGAGGAACCCUCAAAGUCUUGCGCUAAUACAGCGUGGGAGGCUGGCAAGUGGGCUGAAAGCAUUGGAUGAUGACAUAUGAGCCAAGUUCCCUCUGCAGACAUACAAGAGCCGAAUAAACGUGAAAAUUUGUGUUGUGUAAAAUGAUCCUGCUGUGUUUUCUGACUAACAUUGCACAAGUUUAGUGUGUUGAGACUGAUGCUGUUUAGGUUCAUUCCUAGUGGAUGAGAACAUCAACUUACUUGAAGCAAUUUCAUCUCUGAAGUGGGAACUGUUUUUCAAUAUCAAAUUGCCAAUAAUCUAUAAUAAAUUGUAGGCUUACCUUUGCUCAAAUGUUUUGGCCAACUCAACGGCCAGUAGAAGCGAAGAAUACAUCAUCUGCACUCAUACUUGUGCCUAAGCUUUCAUGUUGGCAACAUGCUAGCAACUAGCACUUCAAGCAUCCGACAACAAUUAUCACAGGCUCACAGGAAGACAUCUGAACAUGCCAAGCUUCUCUUUGAAAAUGUCGAUAUCAAAUAAUAACUUUCCACAUUUUUUUCCUUUGGUCUUUCGCAUCUUUUAAUGCUUGAGAUCAGGUAGAUAUCCCUAAUUCCUUACUGGCUGCAUUGCAUAUGAUGCUUCAGAUGACAACAAAGGGUUGGCAAAAGAAUUAUGCUAUACAAAAUAAAGUAUUAAGUUUAAUUUAAAACUCGUACCUGGAGAAACAAAAAAGAUAAAUUAUGUUAAGGGGUAAAUUGAACCAAAUUGCAUAGUUUAGGGGUAAACUGAACCAAGAAAUAGUUUAGGGGUUAUCCAGACUUUGUCUAUAGUUGAGGGAAAUAAUUUAAAUUUUUUUCCUAAGUUUAAUAAGAAAGAAAGACAUAUAAACUAGGAACUGCAGAACUUGCACAGGAAAGUGUCACCAUUGGCCACUCAUGAAUCGAAUGAGCUUGCACACUGGUAUCAAGGCACCAUAUCACAUAUCAGUGCAAAAGAAAUGUAGGGACAACACACGGACCUGUCAGCAUGCCAUGGAACAAUUUUAAUUUCCGUAUAAGUGUUUGAACAGAAGAAAGAAAAAA
rnacentral:lncRNA from 1 species